AGAGUUUGAUCCUGGCUCAGGACGAACGCUGGCGGCGUGCUUAACACAUGCAAGUCGAACGGGGAUUAAGUUGGAAGGCCUUCGGGUUGGAAGAUUUAAUUCCAGUGGCGGACGGGUGAGUAACGCGUGAACAAUCUGUCCCAGACAGGGGAAUAACACUUGGAAACAGGUGCUAAUACCGCAUGAGACCACAGUGUCGCAUGGCACAGGGGUAAAACGGGCAACCGGGUUUGGGGUGAGUUCGCGUCCGAUUAGAUAGUUGGUGAGGUAACGGCCCACCAAGUCGACGAUCGGUAGCCGACCUGAGAGGGUGAUCGGCCACAUUGGAACUGAGAGACGGUCCAAACUCCUACGGGAGGCAGCAGUGGGGAAUAUUGGGCAAUGGGCGAAAGCCUGACCCAGCAACGCCGCGUGAGUGAAGAAGGCCUUCGGGUUGUAAAGCUCUGUUAUAGGGGACGAAGGAAGUGACGGUACCCUAUAAGGAAGCCCCGGCUAACUACGUGCC
rnacentral:rRNA from 1 species